rnacentral:rRNA from 1 species
UACACAUGGGUGGCGAGUGGCGGACGGSUGCGUAACGCGUAGGAAUCUGCCUUGAAGCGGGGGACAACCSGAGGAAACUCGGGCUAAUACCGCAUAAUCUCGAGAGAGCAAAGCUAGGUGGCAACAUCUGGCACUUCAAGAGGAGCCUGCGUCCGAUUAGCUAGUUGGUAGGGUAAAAGCCUACCAAGGCGAUGAUCGGUAGCUGGUCUGAGAGGAUGAUCAGCCACACUGGGACUGAGACACGGCCCAGACUCCUACGGGAGGCAGCAGUGGGGAAUAUUGGACAWUGGGGGCAACCCUGAUCCAGCAAUGCCGCGUGUGUGAAGAAGGCCUUAGGGUUGUAAAGCACUUUASGCUGGGAGGAAGGUAUCAAGUUUAAGAGAUAUGAUAUUUGACUGUACCGGCAGAAUAAGCACCGGCUAACUCUGUGCCAGCAGCCGCGGUAAUACAGAGGGUGCGAGCGUUAAUCGGASUUACUGGGCGUAAAGGGCGCGUASGCGGUUCGUUAASUGAYWUGUGAAAUCCCCUGGGCUUAACCUAGGAACCUGCAUGUCAUACUGGCGAGCUASAGUAUUGUAGAGGGUAGUGUAAUUUCCGGUGUAGCGGUGAAAUGCGUACAGAUCGGANGGAACACCCGUGGCGUAACGCGGUUACC